UACGAAGGGGGCUAGCGUUGCUCGGAAUCACUGGGCGUAAAGGGUGCGUAGGCGGGUCUUUAAGUCAGGGGUGAAAUCCUGGAGCUCAACUCCAGAACUGCCUUUGAUACUGAAGAUCUUGAGUCCGGGAGAGGUGAGUGGAACUGCGAGUGUAGAGGUGAAAUUCGUAGAUAUUCGCAAGAACACCAGUGGCGAAGGCGGCUCACUGGUCCGGUACUGACGCUGAGGCACGAAAGCGUGGGGAGCAAACAGG
rnacentral:rRNA from 1 species